GAUCCUCAGAGUAAAAAUGC
rnacentral:snRNA from 1 species